rnacentral:rRNA from 1 species
AGUGAACGCUGGCGGUAGGCCUAACACAUGCAAGUCGAACGGCAGCACAGUAAGAGCUUGCUCUUACGGGUGGCGAGUGGCGGACGGGUGAGGAAUACAUCGGAAUCUACUUUUUCGUGGGGGAUAACGUAGGGAAACUUACGCUAAUACCGCAUACGACCUACGGGUGAAAGCAGGGGAUCUUCGGAACUUGCGCGAUUGAAUGAGCCGAUGUCGGAUUAGCUAGUUGGCGGGGUAAAGGCCCACCAAGGCGACGAUCCGUAGCUGGUCUGAGAGGAUGAUCAGCCACACUGGAACUGAGACACGGUCCAGACUCCUACGGGAGGCAGCAGUGUGGAAUAUUGUACAAUGGGCGCAAGCCUGAUACAGCCAUACCGCGUGGGUGAAGAAGGCCUUCGGGUUGUAAAGCCCUUUUGUUGGGAAAGAAAAGCAGCAGGUUAAUACCCCGCUGUUCUGACGGUACCCAAAGAAUAAGCUCCGGCUAACUUCGUG